rnacentral:rRNA from 1 species
GACGAACGCUGGCGGCGUGCUUAACACAUGCAAGUCGAACGGAAAGGCCCUGCUUUUGUGGGGUGCUCGAGUGGCGAACGGGUGAGUAACACGUGAGUAACCUGCCCUUGACUUUGGGAUAACUUCAGGAAACGGGGGCUAAUACCGGAUAAGAGCUCCUGCUGCAUGGUGGGGGUUGGAAAGGUUCGGUGGUUGGGGAUGGAGUUGCGGCUUAUUAGCUUGUGGGUGGGGUUGUGGAUUACGAAGGCUAUGACGGGGAGCCGGCCUGUGAGGGUGACCGGCCACAGUGGGACUGAGAUAGGGCCCAGACUGCAACGGGAGGCAGCAGUGGGAAAUAUUGCAAAAUGGGCGGAAGCCGGAUGCAGCAACGCCGCGUGCGGGAUGACGGCCUUCGGGUUGUAAAGCGCUUUCGCCUGUGACGAAGCGUGAGUGACGGUAAUGUGUAAAGAAGCACCGGCUAACUACGUG